rnacentral:rRNA from 1 species
CCUACGGGAGGCAGCAGUGGGGGAUAUUGCACAAUGGGGGAAACCCUGAUGCAGCGACGCCGCGUGAGUGAAGAAGUAUUUCGGUAUGUAAAGCUCUAUCAGCAGGGAAGAAAAUGAACGUUCCUUGACUAAGAGCCCCCGGCUAACUCCUUGCCAGCAGCGGCGUUAAUACGAAGGGGGCAGCCGUUAUCCGGAUUUACUGGGUGUAAGGGGAGCUUAGACGGCGAUGCAAGUCUGAAGUGAAAGCCCGGGGCCUAACCACGGGACUGCUUUGGAAACUGUGUGACUAGAGUGCGGGAGGGGCAAGCGGAAUUCCUGGUGUAGCGGUGAAAUGCGUAGAUAUUAGGAGGAACACCGGCGGCGAAGGCGGCCUACUGGACUGAAACUGACGUUGAGGCUCGAAAGCGUGGGGAGCAAACAGGAUUAGAUACCCGGGUAGUC